AGGUUCAGAAGAAAUGACGAAAUUUCUGAGCAGACGCCCCGAGGACUUUCCCGGAAAGUUUCAACGACUUCGCCUCGGUUUUGCCAGAGUCGAGAAAGAACGAACGAACGAACUUCCUCCUGGACCACGUCGAAACGAAACGGGAUUAUCAUAUAAAAUGUUUUUAGCAUGCAAAGACGGGGACUUUCUCGCCCAAGGAAAGCAUUGACUCGGGCAAGUCUUCGUUCUUCGUAUGGAAACGGACAGUCAGCAAUGUUUGUGCUUUGUGUCUGCCCACUUCUCACUGCAUGCUCGAGAAUUUCUGUUUCUCUUUUUGGGGAUUUUCCAGGAAUGAAGUUCGAGUAAUUGCAGAGACACUGAACUUGUGGGGAUUCUCGGGGGCUCACGCAGCCCUUUAGAGGUCAUAUGGAUGCUGCUCGAAUCUGAAGAUGAUGAUGCUGUUGAACCUUUGAGCAAGGAAAUAAUUUAUUGUCUUAAACUUGUGCUUGGCCUCACAAAUACGUAUUAUGGCCUUGGAGCUCAUUCCCAUUGGCACAAUCUUGGCCGUGCUGACUAACCAGGUCAUCAAAACAGCUCAAGCUGCAAAAGACAUUCUUGUCGAGAAAGAUAGUUUCAAAGUCCUGUCGAAACACCUGUUUGACAUAGAACCUGUUCUGAAGGAAUUGCAGCUCCAAGAGUUAAACGAUUCGCAAGCUGCUCGGCUAGCACUGGAAUCCCUUGAAACCGAUGUUAAGAAGGCUAAUAGCUUGAUCGAGAAGUAUAAGAACCGAUCCCGGUUUUACUUAUUGGUCAGGUGUAGGUACAUUGUGAAGGAGGUACAACAAGUGACGAGGGACAUAGGAAGGUCCUUGGCUGCCCUAUCUCUCGCAAACACCGAAGUCUUGUCUAACAUUUCAGAUCAGGUAAAUAGGCUGCAGAAUGAAAUGCAGAGAGUGGAGCUUGAAACUUCGCAUUCUCAGCUCCAAAUAAUCGACAAGUUAAACCAGGGCAUUAAGGACCAAAAAUGGGAUCAAGGCUUUGCGAAUGACAUGCUUGAAGAAAUAGCACGUGCCGUUGGUGUAAAUGUUGAGCCAUCUGCGAUAAAUGAGGAAUUGGAAAGUUUCAGGAAGGAAAAGGAAGAAGCCGUACAACGAAAGGAAAAGGCUGAAGAAUAUUUCUUGCAACAGGUUAUUGCGCUGCUCUCUCGGGCGGAUGCCGCAAUUAAUUACGAAGAAUUAAGAACCCGCUAUCUCCAAAGAUUCCAGGUCAUUGUGGGUUAUGAUGAAAGGGAAAAACAAAUCCCUCCACUGAAUGCCUUUUUUUGUCCUAUAAAUUGGACAAUAAUGGUUGAUCCUGUGAGCCUUUGCACUGGUACCACCUGUGAAAGAGCGGCCAUCAAGGCUUGGCUUGAGCUUGGCGAGAGAACUGAUCCCGGAACAGGAAAGGUUCUUCAGGACACUUCUCUGAGGUCAAACCUUCUGCUGAGACAGUCGAUAGAAGAAUGGAGAGAGCUUAAUUACUGUCUGAGAAUCAGAUGCUGCAAAAGUAACUUGUCAUCUGGUUCUGAUGAGUUGGUGAAAGAGGCUCUCUGCCAAGUUCAAGAACUUGUGAGAGAAGAUUCUGUUAACAAGGAUUGGAUCUUCAUAGGGGGACUGGCGGACAUCAUUAUCUCUAUUCUAGGGAACUCACACAGCAAAGAUGUGAAGAGGAAGAUACUUAUUACCUUAAAGGAGGUCGUGAAAGGGCAUGCAAAAAGUAAGGAGCAACUGGUUGAGUCCAAAGGUUGGGAUUACAUCAUUCCUUGUUUGGGGCGUGAUCCAAGCAUCUCAAAGCCAGCUGUCGCGUUGUUAUUUGAGCUAUUGCAAGAUAGAUCUGGUUGGAAUGUGUCUGCAUGCGAGAAACUGUCUCAGCAGUGCAGCGCUAUUCUUUUCCUUGUAACACUUUUGAGAGGGCCGGAGACGGAAUCGGCAGAGUAUGCCAAGAAGAUCUUGGAUAAGUUGCUUGAUGUGGAUGAGGAGAACAUAUCUCGUGCUGCUAGGUCAGGCUGGUACAAUCCGCUUGUCGAUCGCAUAGUUCAAGGUCCACAGUCAUCGAGAACGUCAAUGGUGAGAUCUCUGGUCAAUAUGGAAUUGGUCGAUGCUAAUCUGGAGAUCAUUGGUAAGAUGGGGAUAAUACCACCUUUGCUUGAGAUGCUAUCGGACAGAUCUGAAUCAAAGGAGCUGUCUCUCCGUGCGCUGGUCAAGCUAUCAAGUUGCGUCGCCAACAAAGAACUUCUAUCUGCUUCCGAUGGGGUCUCUCUUGUUAUAAAACUAAUGUUCACAUCCCACGAGCGUCCAGCUAUAAUAAUCAAAUGCUGUGAACUCCUUGAGAAACUCACUUUUGAUAAAGAUGGGAUCAAAUUCCUUGUCGAUGGAAGAGGCAUUCAACUCGAGUUAGAACCGAUCAUAACUGGCAUGUUGGCAUUUCAACAUAGUGCCAGCUCAACCCAUGUGCGGAGACCAGCCUUGCGUGUGAUUCUAGCUAUUUGCAACUCCGAACCCGAACUGGUCAAGAAGGCAGUUUUGGCUGCAAAUGGAAUAUCCAUAGUCCUUCCACUCAUCGAUGACUCAGACUCAGAAAUCCGUGAAGUUGCAAUAAAUCUUCUCUUCCUCUUUUCACAGCACGAGCUGCAAGGAGUUGUCGAGUACCUUCUCAGGCCGAGGAGAUUGGAGGCCUUGGUGGGGUUUCUUGAGAAUGAAGAUAAGAGUGAUGUGCAGAUGGCAGCAGCUGGCUUACUGGCCAAUCUUCCAAAAUCAGAAGUAUCGCUGACUACGAGGCUAAUCGAGUUGGAUGGAGUUGAAAAAAUUGUGAAAGUAUUGAGAUCAGGAACCAUGGAAGCAAAAGAGAAUGCCCUGAGCACUCUCUUCAGGUUCACAGACCCCACAGAUGUGGAGUCACAGCGUAUUGUGGUCGAGCAAGGAGUUUAUCCUCUAUUAGUAAACUUUCUCCGGGUCGGUUCUGUGACGGCCAUGGCAAGAGCAGCAGCUCUCAUUGGUAACCUGUCAUCGAGCACUCCAAGGCUCGUUAUGGCCACUAAACCUAGCUUUUGCUGGUGUUUCAGUGCACGUGUGCCCCUAUGCCCGGCCCAUGGCGGCAAAUGUAGUGUUGCCUCCACAUUCUGUCUCCUGGAGGCCAAUGCUUUGCGUGAUUUAGUUGAACUCUUGAGCAUACAGGUUCAUGCAACAGCAUACGAAGCAAUUCAGGCACUUUCCACGCUGGUGAGGGAAGGAUCUCCCAACAGAGGCACAAGCGUUCUGCACGAAGCCAAUGCAAUCAAGCCCAUCUUGGAGAUCUUGACGUGGGGAACGGAUUCACUCAAGGAAGAGGCCUUGGGAUUCCUGGAGAAGAUUUUCUGCUCAAAGGAUAUAGUGGAACACUAUGGAUCAACUGCUAAAUUGCUUCUCAUUCGCAUGACUGGCCAGAACAUUCAUGAUGAAAGUCAUAUUGGAAGGAGGGCCGCCCGGGUUUUGUCGCUGUUGGAACGAUACUCAAAAUCGUCAAUAUCUAUUCUUCCAGGAAUAUAAAUGGAUAGUCAUCAUCUUAGGAUCUGGAAAAACUCUGCUGCAAUUUAUGGUGAGUCAACUAUGCAUGUAUUUGCCCAGAUUUUCCAUGUCCCAAGUACUUAAGGGCUAAACUUCCAGCAGACAUUGGCGAGCAUCCUCCGAUGAUUCCUGCAAACGAGAUAGCUGCAUGCAUCAAAACACCCCAUUUUGGAAGAGAAUGCUAUCGGUGCAAAAUCCUACUCGAAUCAAGCGGUCGUCAUCGAUUUUGAGAGUUCUCUGCUCGGUGGACCGACCAACACACCCGAUAUUGUCACUAGUAAUGCAAGUGGAUAAGUAGCUCCAUCGAAUUUUUGGAACUUUCCUGUCAUUUCAUCCGAGGUUUCUGUGUACUUGUCCCUCGGUGUCUCCGUGGUGG